GACGAACGCUGGCGGCGUGCCUAACACAUGCAAGUCGAACGGAAAGGCCCUGCUUUUGUGGGGUGCUCGAGUGGCGAACGGGUGAGUAACACGUGAGUAACCUGCCCUUGACUUUGGGAUAACUUCAGGAAACUGGGGCUAAUACCGGAUAGGAGCUCCUGCUGCAUGGUGGGGGUUGGAAAGUUUCGGCGGUUGGGGAUGGACUCGCGGCUUAUCAGCUUGUUGGUGGGGUAGUGGCUUACCAAGGCUUUGACGGGUAGCCGGCCUGAGAGGGUGACCAGCCACAUUGGGACUGAGAUACGGCCCAGACUCCUACGGGAGGCAGCAGUGGGGAAUAUUGCACAAUGGGCGGAAGCCUGAUGCAGCAACGCCGCGUGCGGGAUGACGGCCUUCGGGUUGUAAACCGCUUUCGCCUGUGACGAAGCGUGAGUGACGGUAAUGGGUAAAGAAGCACCGGCUAACUACGUG
rnacentral:rRNA from 1 species